rnacentral:rRNA from 1 species
AGAGUUUGAUCCUGGCUCAGAACGAACGCUGGCGGCAGGCUUAAUACAUGCAAGUCGAACGGGCGUAGCAAUACGUCAGUGGCAGACGGGUGAGUAACGCGUGGGAACGUACCCCUCGGUUCGGAAUAACUCAGGGAAACUUGAGCUAAUACCGGAUACGGCUUAGCGGCGAAAGAUUUAUCGCCGAGGGAUCGGCCCGCGUCCGAUUAGCUAGUUGGUGAGGUAACGGCUCACCAAGGCGACGAUCGGUAGCUGGUCUGAGAGGAUGAUCAGCCACAUUGGGACUGAGACACGGCCCAAACUCCUACGGGAGGCAGCAGUAGGGAAUAUUGGACAAUGGGCGAAAGCCUGAUCCAGCCAUGCCGCGUGAGUGAUGAAGGCCUUAGGGUUGUAAAGCUCUUUCGUCAGGGACGAUAAUGACGGUACCUGAAGAAGAAGCCCCGGCUAACUUCGUGCCAGCAGCCGCGGUAAUACGAAGGGGGCUAGCGUUGUUCGGAAUCACUGGGCGUAAAGCGCAUGUAGGCGGGUCUUUAAGUCAGGGGUGAAAUGCCAAGGCUCAACCUUGGAACUGCCUUUGAUACUGGAGACCUUGAGUCCGGGAGAGGUGAGUGGAACUGCGAGUGUAGAGGUGAAAUUCGUAGAUAUUCGCAAGAACACCAGUGGCGAAGGCGGCUCACUGGCCCGGUACUGACGCUGAGAUGCGAAAGCGUGGGGAGCAAACAGGAUUAGAUACCCUAGUAGUCC